rnacentral:rRNA from 1 species
AACGAACGCUGGCGGCAGGCUUAACACACGCAAGUCGAACGCGUGUAGCAAUACACGAGUGGCGCACGGGUGCGUAACGCGUGGGAACCUACCCUUUAGUACGGAAUAACCCAGGGAAACUUGGGCUAAUACCGUAUACGUCCUUCGGGAGAAAGAUUUAUCGCUAAAGGAUGGGCCCGCGUCAGAUUAGGUAGUUGGUAGGGUAACGGCCUACCAAGCCGACGAUCUGUAGCUGGUCUGAGAGGAUGAUCAGCCACACUGGGGCUGAGACACAGGCCCGACUCCUACGCGAGGCAGCAGUGGGGACUAUUGGAACAUGGGGGAUACCCUGAUCCAGCCAUGCCGCGUGAGUGAAGAAGGCCAUCGGUUUGUACAGCUCUUUCGACGGGGACGAUGAUGCCGGUACCCUCAUAAGAAGCCCCGGCUAACUUCGUGCCAGCAGCCGCCGUAA